rnacentral:rRNA from 1 species
GGUGAACGCUGGCGGCGUGCCUAAUACAUGCAAGUCGAGCGAACGGACGAGAAGCUUGCUUCUCUGAUGUUAGCGGCGGACGGGUGAGUAACACGUGGAUAACCUACCUAUAAGACUGGGAUAACUUCGGGAAACCGGAGCUAAUACCGGAUAAUAUUUUGAACCGCAUGGUUCAAAAGUGAAAGACGGUCUUGCUGUCACUUAUAGAUGGAUCCGCGCUGCAUUAGCUAGUUGGUAAGGUAACGGCUUACCAAGGCAACGAUGCAUAGCCGACCUGAGAGGGUGAUCGGCCACACUGGAACUGAGACACGGUCCAGACUCCUACGGGAGGCAGCAGUAGGGAAUCUUCCGCAAUGGGCGAAAGCCUGACGGAGCAACGCCGCGUGAGUGAUGAAGGUCUUCGGAUCGUAAAACUCUGUUAUUAGGGAAGAACAUAUGUGUAAGUAACUGUGCACAUCUUGACGGUACCUAAUCAGAAAGCCACGGCUAACUACGUG